AUUCAACAUCAGCAGCACAUAUACUGAAAUUGGAACAAUACAGAGAAUAGCCUGACCCCUGCGCAAGAAUGACACACAAAUUCGUGAAACAUUCCAUAUUUUU